GGGGGGGGGGGGGGGGGGGGGGGGGGGGGGGGGGGGGGGGGGGGGGGGGGGGGCGGCGGAGCAGUUACACCUCGGAUCGGGUCCAUUGUCACAAGUCAAGGAACAGCUGAGGGUGCUGGGGCUGUUGAACCUGGAGAAAAGGAGGCUCAGCCGGGAUCUUAACACUGUCUAGAACCACCUGAAAGGAGGCUAUGGCCAGGCAUUAAAGAUUCACCACAAGAGGAAGGGAGAAAAAGCAGGUUCUGAUGGAUUUAAUGAGAGUGUGACAUUCAGGAUGGUAAGUGGUCUGUCUUGUAGUCCUGCUCCAGGAACAAGGCAAAUGUGCACAAUAGCAAUCAGGUGUAAAAGCAUAAAAAUACAUGUGUGAAGGGACUAGAAAUUUGUUGUCCC
rnacentral:lncRNA from 12 species